UACGGAGGGAGCAAGCGUUAAUCGGAAUUACUGGGCGUAAAGCGCACGCAGGCGGUUUGUUAAGUUAGAAGUCAAAUCCCCAGGCUCAACCUGUGAAAUGCAUUUGAUACUGGCAAGCUUGAGUCUCGUAGAGGGGGGUAGAAUUCCAGGUGUAGCGGUGAAAUGCGUAGAUAUCUGGAGGAAUACCGGUGGCGAAGGCGGC
rnacentral:rRNA from 1 species